rnacentral:rRNA from 1 species
UAUGUGAUCGUCUCUCGCAUAUCAAUAAGCGGAGGAAAAGAAACUAACAAGGAUUCCCCUAGUAACGGCGAGUGAAGCGGGAAGAGCUCAAAUUUGAAAUCUUAAAGGGUUUCCCUUUACGAAUUGUAGUUUAAAGAAGUGUUUUCUGUUGAGGUUUUGGUAAAAGUUCUUUGGAAUAGGACAUCAUAGAGGGUGAGAAUCCCGUAUUUGACCUUUACUUUCAACUUUGUGAUACACUUUCAAAGAGUCGGAUUGUUUGGGUAUGCAGUCCAAAAUGGGUGGUAAAUUUCAUCUAAAGCUAAAUAUUGGCGAGAGACCGAUAGCGAACAAGUACCGUGAGGGAAAGAUGAAAAGAACUUUGAAAAGAGAGUUAAACAGUACGUGAAAUUGUCAAAAGGGAAGCGUUUGACACCAGUGUUGUUUUUCUGAAAAUCAAUUAAAGAACUGUUUAUGCUAAGUUGUAUAGACUUUAUCAGCUAUCUGUUUAGUUUUAGGCUUUUCUUUAAUGCACUUUUCAGUUAACAAGUCAACAUCAAUUUCUUUUGCUGUAAAAAAGCUUGAGGAAGGUGGCUUGAGAUUCGUCUUAAGUGUUUAUAGCCUCUUGCCUAUGCAGUCGGAGAGAUUGAGGUCUGCAGCGUAGAUCCUUCGGGGCUAAAUGCAUUUGUGCUAAGUUAUAGCAUUUUAUAGACAACUUGUUGACUAUGAUUUGUCUUGUAGCUUACUCGCUUAUGUUAUUUUACCUACGCUUAGGAUGUUGAUCUACAGAGCGAGAGU